rnacentral:misc_RNA from 1 species
GGCAGAAAUUUGGGCUCUUGAAACUGCUAAAUAGCAAAAUUAAUGUUCAAUAUAAUACCCAGCACAAAAAACCAAUUUGUUGAAUCCAAAAGGUGAAUAACAAAAAAAUAGAAAUAAAACCUCCACCCUUUGCAGAAUAAUGAAACUAAAUAAGUGUUCAAGGAACCAGACAUGAUUGCAUUUGAAUUUUAAAAAACGAUGCUAAUAUAGUAUAUAAAUAUUAAUUAAAAAUAUUUAGUUCCAAAACACCUAAUCACCUGUCAAAUUAUAAUGGUUUCCAAUCAAAUGUCCUAUGUAAAUAAUACUUCAACCUAUGAACGUGAAGCAUCCAUUCUGCCAACUAGGUCGUAAGUUGCCCUCAAUUAUUGGAUAUAGCCCAGAUUUUCACAUUACCAAC